UAGAGUUUGAUCCUGGCUCAGGAUGAACGCUGGCGGCGUGCCUAAUACAUGCAAGUCGAACGCACAGCGAAAGGUGCUUGCACCUUUCAAGUGAGUGGCGAACGGGUGAGUAACACGUGGAUAACCUACCUCAAGGUUGGGGAUAACAUUUGGAAACAGAUGCUAAUACCGAAUAAAACUUAGUAUCGCAUGAUACCAGGUUAAAAGGCGCUACGGCGUCACCUAGAGAUGGACCCGCGGUGCAUUAGUUAGUUGGUGGGGUGAAGGCUUACCAAGACAAUGAUGCAUAGCCGAGUUGAGAGACUGAUCGGCCACAUUGGGACUGAGACACGGCCCAAACUCCUACGGGAGGCUGCAGUAGGGAAUCUUCCACAAUGGGCGAAAGCCUGAUGGAGCAACGCCGCGUGUGUGAUGAAGGCUUUCGGGUCGUAAAGCACUGUUGUAUGGGAAGAACAGCUAGAGUAGGGAAUGACUUUAGUUUGACGGUACCAUACCAGAAAGGGACGGCUAAAUACGUGCCAGCAGCCGCGGUAAUACGUAUGUCCCGAGCGUUAUCCGGAUUUAUUGGGCGUAAAGCGAGCGCAGACGGUUAAUUAAGUCUGAUGUGAAAGCCCGGAGCUCAACUCCGGAAAGGCAUUGGAAACUGGUUAACUUGAGUGCAGUAGAGGUAAGUGGAACUCCAUGUGUAGCGGUGGAAUGCGUAGGAUAUAUGGAAGAACACCCAGCGGCGAAGGCGGCUUACUGGA
rnacentral:rRNA from 1 species